UACGGAGGGUGCAAGCGUUAUCCGGAUUUACUGGGCUUAAAGGGUGCGUAGGCGGGCUUUUAAGUCAGUGGUGAAAUCUCCGAGCUUAACUCGGAAAUUGCCAUUGAUACUAUUAGUCUUGAAUUAAGUUGAGGUGGGCGGAAUGUGUCAUGUAGCGGUGAAAUGCGUAGAGAUCGGAAAGAACACCAACGGCGAAAGCACUCUGCUGGGCCGACACUGACACUGGGAGACGAAAGCUAGGGGAGCGAAUGGG
rnacentral:rRNA from 1 species